rnacentral:piRNA from 1 species
UGCUCUUCAAGUCCCUGACCUUUAGCA